rnacentral:rRNA from 1 species
CCUACGGGUGGCAGCAGUAGGGAAUUUUUCACAAUGGGCGAAAGCCUGAUGGAGCAAUGCCGCGUGAAUGAUGAAUGUCUUAUAGGUUGUAAAAUUCUUUUAUUUGGGGAGAAUAACUAAAGUAGGAAAUGUCUUUAGUCUGACUGUACCAUUUGCAUAAGUAUCGGCUAACUAUGUGCCAGCAGCCGCGGUGAUACAUAGGAUGCAAGCGUUAUCCGGAUUUACUGGGCGUAAAACGAGCGCAGGCGGGUUAAUAAGUUAGGUAUGAAAGGCUUUUGCUUAACGAAAGUUUGUAUCAAAAACUGUUGAGCUAGAGAGUAGUAGAGAGUGGUGGAAUACGAUGUGGAGCGGUGGAAUGCAUAGAUAUAUGGAAGAACACCGGUGGCGAAGGC